GAGUGAAUCACUUAUGUGACGUACUGAAGGAUUCACGCUGUAAACUGGAGAGAUUGAGUCUUAUUUACUGUGGCAUUACAGAUGUUUCUUCUUUAACUCCGUCUUUGACAAACACAAAAGCUCUGGAGUUUCUAAAAGAGCUUGAUCUGAGAUUCAAUAAGAUUGGAGACUCAAAGCAGAAGCUCAUUGAUGUGCUACGAGACUCAAACUGUAAACUGAGUGUAGAUAGAGAUCCAUCACCAAAAGUCCCUGAUAGAGAUCCAUCACCAAAAGUCCCUGAA